CUUCUACUUUUUCAUAUGGAAAUCUUGGUACAUUAGAAAGAAUUCCUGACAAUUUAUAAUACAAUUUUCACGAAUGUAGGAAAAAUCUACCCUAGAUCUUAAACUAUAUUAAGUGAGAUAUGUUCUUACACUUUGAAAAAUACAUGCUGUACCAACAUUGUCUUGUAAUUAGGUAACUUGAGGUUCUUAGUAAAAAUUGUGCCGAGGCCCCUGACUUCUGGGAGAGGAUUUAUUGUCAUUUUGAUGAGAAAGCUGAAGUUAUUUUUGUAAGUAAUAAAUUAUAAAUACUAUA
rnacentral:lncRNA from 1 species